rfam:Myotis lucifugus cont2.25713, whole genome shotgun sequence.
GGUGGUUCUCGGGUGACGCACCUUAGAAUCAGGCUCCUUCCUCUCUGGUUCUGGGUCACCCGAGGACCGCA